UAAGAUUCCAAUUCCUUCUUAUUCCAUAAACCAAACACACCAAGGAUGUCUCUGAACAGCAGUUGAUCUUAUAAAAUACCUCUGAAUUGAAUAAUUACCUCUUAAAAAAUCAGACAUCAACCCACAUCCGAAUUAAAAAAAGACGCUUGUGCCCAAGAAAAAACCACGCCUCUUUUCCUUUCUUUAUCGUAAGCGCCUCCAAUUCCUUUUGUUCUCAUCAGACAUCGGCGCCACUUCUUUCUUCCACCCCUCCUCCUCCAUCUUCGAUCUCGUCUGCCAUCGCCGCUUUCCCUGUGUCGCCUUCGCUUUGGGCUUCGACAGCUCCACCUCCGGUAUCUUCUGCAGAUGAAGGUACAUGAGUUCACUCAUUGAAGCUCUUAUGCACACCAACUGUUUGUGAAAAAUCCUGUGAGGUUCAUCAAUGUAUGUUCUGUGAAAAUCCCAGACAGAAAAUGCCCUCAUCUUUGACCUCCAAUGGUCUUACAACAAAAAACCAAGUCCAUAAAUCACAAGCAUUAUCAUUGGCACACAUAUGGAAUAGACCAUUUGGUGAAGAAUAAAAAGAUGACAACAUCAGUUGACUUUGAGAUUGUACACCUUCAAAGGACACACUUUUACAUAAUGUCUUUUUAAUCAAAUCAUAAAUGCCCAUCGAUAAUUUUGAUGUGUAUGAAAUAAAUCUUUGGUUCAGAAAUUCAGACAUUUGGGUUAAAGACACAUGAGAUUGGUGGUGGUGUUUUUUUUCCAUGGA